rnacentral:lncRNA from 1 species
GACUUUAGCUGGGAUAUCAGUGUGCACACUCAGACUGGAACUUACACCGUCAGCCCUCCUGGUACUCCUGCCUUUGGGACUUUGAAACUUGUAUCUCUGGCUCUUCUGGGUCUUAGGCCUUUAGACUGCAGGUCUGGGGGCUUCUGAGACUUCAAACUCAUGUAAGCCACAUAAACUAAGGGGUGUGUGUGUGUGUGUGUGUGUGUGUGUUUUCUCUGGAGGACCCUAACUACUACAAAAAAAAUAAGGCAUUCUCUCAUUCAAUAUAGGUCACUACUAAUUUCCUAGGUGAUAUGGUUUGAAUAAGUGUCCACCAUGGACCUAUGUGUUAAAUGCUUAACCCCCAGCCUGUGAUGUUAUUGGGAAAUGGAGGAACCGUCAGGAGGUGGGACCUAGUGGGAGGAGUUGGGUCACUGAGGCUCUGUCCUUGGAGGGGAUAUUGGAACCUGGCCCCUCUUCUUCGUCUCUUUUUGCUCUUCCCCAUUGCCAUGAGGUGAGAAACUUCCUCUGCCAUUCACCACUGUCAUGAUGUACCACCUCAUCACAGGUCCAAAGGCAACAAGCCAGCCAUGGCAUGAAACCUACAAAAUUGUGAACCAAAAUUAACUUUCCUCGUUUCAGUUGAUUGCCUCAACUAUUGUGUUACACUAACGAAAAGCUGGGUAACCAAUAGGGAUGUACACUCUGGCAGGAGUCUACUAUAAAUGAUCUCUUAUUAACCACCUAGAAGAAAAGUCUUGAACUUGAAUUUCAGCUUCACAAUGUAUAAGAUGGGGAAAAAAAAAAAAAAACUCUUAGAUUCUCUGGGCCUCAGUCAUCUGGUCGGGAAAAUGGAGAAAAUAGUGUAUGGAUUAUGGUGGCUAUUAGAAAUUUAAUGUGCAAAGUUCCCAAGCACACCAGAGAAUCACUGACAGGUACCAUGAUUCAGUAGGUUUCAUUCUUAUUAUGCAUGUUCCGAUAUGCUAAAACUCUUAAAAUGAAAUGUAUUAUAAAUAACCUUUGGAUUAUCUUUAAGUAAUUCUUUAUGGUUUGGAAGGGGAAAAUCCAUAGAUACAUAAAAUACCCAGGAUGUCAACUAUACAGUAUAAUCAUUUUGUAUGAUUGCUGCUGAUACAGUUCAAUCUAAAUUGCAGUCUCAUAUUUGACAUAAUUAUACAUAACCAAACACUAAUAAAAAUUGCUGCCUUAUAUUUCAAAUUGGUAAUUAUGGUAGUAAACAUUAACAACAUGUCAGAUAUAAGAUGGUGAUUUGUUCUGAAAUGUAUUAGAAAUCAUUAUACUGUAUGAUAAUUUUAAUUACAGUUUGGUAGCAAGAGAGCACGCAGCGGUCUAUGGCUCCAAGUGCAUGAUGGGAACUGGCAGCUCUUCAGCCAUAGCUCUGACUGCUGUUAUUUGAGCUGAAGAAAUGGGCUACUCUUUCUCUGCCUUGAAGUAGUGAACUCAGUCUCCUCUGCAGAAAUGUAUGGUAUGAGAUUUGAAGUCAUUCUUCCAGGAUUUAAAUUCUUUCUCUUCAUGUCUUGCCAGAAGACCUUGGCUAAUGGUCAUUUCUUGGUGCCUCAGUUUUCUGUCCUUUAAAAUAGGUAAUAUAGUAAUGCCUACCUCAGAGGGUUAUAUGACAACUCAGGUGACCCGUGCUGUGCGUGAGGCUCAGUCAGCGUCACCAGCAUGCCAAGUCAUCAGUAUGCACCAUGGUGGUGGUUAUCAUUUUCUAUUAAUACAUCAUUUUCCCAAAUUUCCCAGGUUCUGGUCUUGGUAAUCAUGAUCUAACGUCCUAUUUAAUGUACGAAUGUGCUGGAUGCUAGCUUCUAUCUCUCAGGUCACUCUGUAUCCUUUAAAAUUUAAUCUUUCUCUUUUCUUCUCUCCUUCUAAGUUAUCUCCAUUCCUUUCCCUUGCUCAGUAUUGUGAGCCACGCUCUGCUCUGUCAGCUCUUGGGAAUGCCACCUGGCUUUGGCUCAUCUCCUCUUGACUCUGCCGGCUCCUGCCAUGGCCUUUGAGCGUGUUGCCAGGAUGUACCCUGUGCCCCAUCCAUCACACUGGAGAAGACCUGAGGAGGCUCCAUUGCCCAGCAGGUGAGUACAAGGAGCCAGGAAAUCCCCACCUCCGUCCACAGGACAUUUGACUCACCUGACCAGUAGGCCAUAAUUCAAAGAUUUAAUUCCCCACCCCCCCAAACACACACACACCCCUUGUGAAAUUUGUUAUUCUAACGUAAGAACCAUUCUGCUCAUUCAGUUGCCCGUUUCCAUCUCUUUUUAAAGAUCUCUGGGCCUCGCAACAUCUUUAUAUGACUCUCCCAGCUCCAAGAUCUUCAUGCACAGUAGGCAGGACUCCCAACACCAUGAUAAAGCACCUUUCCUGUCUACAUUUCCAUUCCGUUUCAGGUAAAAUAUUCAAGGGAACAGACCGGACUGCUAAUUAGAGAACUGUCUGGAACCACCAUGAACCGCAUUUCCAUCGGUGCAAUAAGCAAAGACUCUUCAUUAAAAUCACUGUCCUCUGUCAGGGAAAGCUGUUUCAAGUGCAAUAGAUCUAAUUCACAGGAGUGAUCAUGCAGACCCAGGUAGAGUAUUCAUUAUUAACUUAAAAAGUAUGCCAAAUCAAUUAAAAACCAUUUUAAAGGGAAGGGAUAAAAUUUAGUUCUACCUAACUGCAGCUCUGCUCUGAUUUAUCUUCCAGCCACUUUCAAGGGAUUUUACUUGGUUCUUAAUCUAACAUUCAUUGGAAAGGGUAAUUCUCAUGAAAUUACAAUGGCAUCUCUUGCAUCGUUUAAUGCAAAUGUUCCCAUUCUUCAGGAAUAGAGAGCGGCUUCUCCAAUAAAGACUCCCUUCAAAGUGCAGAGUGGAAGAGCCCUGGGAGCCGCUGGUGCAGAAUAAAGCAUGGCAUCUCAGAAGCUGCUCGAAUUUAGAACUCUGCCCGCAUCCUUGUGACAAAUUGUAUUCCAAAUAUAGGUUAUUCACAACAUGUUUGUUAUAAGGCGAGGCCUAUGAAUUCCCGCCGUGUCUUUCUUUACAAACAUGUCAAGACUUGUGAACCCCUUAAUGAAAUGCAGCCUUUUAGAGGCAAGAGAAAGCCACAAAGAUUCCAGGAAGAAAAGACUCUCUUUCCUGGGACUGGGACCUUCUUGUGCUAGUGAUAGCAGCCCUAAGCAGAGGUACUGUGUCAUCUCCGAGGUCCCUGAGACCAGCCACUUCAGUUUUCAGAGGGAAAGACUAGCAUCUGAGAAAGAAUGAGAUUUUUCCAAAGUGUCAGAGGCAAAACAAGCAGGGCCGGGGCUCACCUGCCCAGCCCAGGACACCCUGCCACUGUACUGAGUGUCUCACGGAAUUCUAAAACACCGUCGGUCCUGAUUGGGGCACUUUUAUAAAGUCCCAUGGGGUACCAAUCUUCCGUUGUUCAGAUAAAGUGCCAUAAAACUUGGAAGUGAGCUUACCCCAGUAGGAUAUUUCCCGUCAUGCUACGGAAGUUAGCUGUAUUGAUUUCCCUUUGGGCAUCUUUUUUAGCCAAGACCCAAGGGUACUAUCCUUUUCAUUAGUUAAUUCAUAUUUUGCCUUUUGGGUAAAGAGCCACUAUACACUAGUCAGCAGAAGUCCCAAGCUCAGGAUAUAUCUUUUUCCUACCAAGACCAACUGGGGGCUUUCCAAUGUGGCUAGACCCAGCAGUCUACCCAGUUCUAACUUUGUUUUUGUUUGUUUGUUUGGGUGCUGGGGAAUGAAUCCAGGGCCUCAUGCAUGUCAGGCAAGCACUCUACCACCUGAGCUACAUCCUCAGCCCUCCCAGUUCUAGUUUAAGGCAGAGGCCAGCCAAUGUUUCCUAUAAGGGCCAGAUAGUAAGUGACUUAUGUUCUGCGGACCACUUGGUCACCAGUGUAAUUAUACCACGACCUGCCGAAGAAGCCAUAGACAAUACGGAAGCAAAUGAGUGUGACUGUGUCCCAAUAAAACUUUAUUU